ACGCCGCGUGAGUGAUGAAGGCCUUCGGGUUGUAAAGCUCUGUGGAGGGGGACGAAUAAGGGUUGGCUAAUAUCCAGCUCGAUGACGGUACCCCUUUAGCAAGCACCGGCUAACUCUGUGCCAGCAGCCGCGGUAAGACAGAGGGUGCAAACGUUGUUCGGAAUUACUGGGACGUAAAGCGCGUGUAGGCGGCUCGGAAAGUCGGAUGUGAAAGCCCUGGGGCUUAACCUAGGAAGUGCAUUCGAAACUGCUGAGCUUGAGUUCUGGAGAGGAAGGCGGAAUUCUCGGUGUAGAGGUGAAAUUCGUAGAUAUCGAGAGGAACACCGGUGGCGAAGGCGGCCUUCUGGACAGUGACUGACGCUGAGACGCGAAAGCGUGGGGAGCAAACAGGAUUAGAUACCCUGGUAGUCCACGCCGUAAACGAUGAGUGCUAGGUGUCGCGGGCUUUGACCCCUGCGGUGCCGCAGCUAACGCAUUAAGCACUCCGCCUGGGGAGUACGGCCGCAAGGCUAAAACUCAAAGGAAUUGACGGGGGC
rnacentral:rRNA from 1 species